AUUUCUAUUUCAUUUCAGGGUGCUGUGGUGAGUACUGUAGAUUGUAGUGCAUAUGUAUAGAAUUCAAUAAACGAUGAUGAAUGAAAACUGAUUUCGAUUCGUUUUGUGUAAUUUUAGGUAUUUUCACUCUAUCACAACUCUGUCGGUUGGUGUUCAUGAGUGUGAGACUAAUACAGCAAUGUUUGAGUAGUACAAAAAUGUUUUCGCUUUUGUGGUCGCCAGCUGUCCGUGAUCUGUAAAGUGAAAAUACACAGAGCUAUGAAGCAUACAGAUGUUUCGAAAUUUUAUCAAUGAUUGUAUACUAUGCAUGUUUUGAUUUAGUUCGUUUCAGAUUUGACAUGAGAUGAAAACCUGACAUGAUUUGAACAGAGCUGGGAAAUGAAAAGGUAAGUCUGUUUCAUUCCACUAUGAACACUUGUAUUUUGACAAAAGAAGAGAUAAAGUGAGUUACUUUAUCAUCAUGGUUUCAUUUGGUGUAUAACACAUGAACAGAGGUAAACCUAGCUAGCUUUUCGUGUACUCUAUUUUGGAUGAUGAGUAUGUCAGUAACUUUAAUUGUACGGCUAGUAAAGUAUGAACAUGAAUGCUUUGUUCAGAUUUUCAGAUGUGUGCUGGCAGUUGAAGUCUGGCAGCCGGAGUGAACAGUCGUGAUUUCUGGAGCUCCAACAAUAUGCUAGAAGGUAAGUAACUAUGUUUGUUUUGCAUUGCAUGUUUUUAUAUGUUUCAGACUUUCAAGCAGAGAUGUCAUGCUGACUGGAGUUGAGCACAGGGCAGUGACAAAGUGAAAGGUAAGUACUUUUGACUGAAUGUUUGUUCUAUGCAUGUUUUGUUUUAAUACAUUUCAGGAGUGCUUAUCCAGUGAUGAUAUGACAGUUGGAGUGAACAGUGGAGCCAAGCAGUCUUGUUUUUGGAGCUACUCAACAAGCCUUGAAGGUAAGUUUAGAAUUUCUCAAUGUUAGUGAAUUGAAGUACUGUCACUUGCUUUUGGACAGUCGAACAGAACAGACGUGGUUGCGAGAGCUCUCAUAUCUGUUGUGUUAAACUGUUUUUAUGAUAUGUUAUGUUUGUUUGUUUGUUUGUGAUGUACUAUUUUUCAGAUGCUGAUGGCAGUGAUGGGUUUUCAAGCUGACCUGAACAGAAAAGCACUCAUAUGGUAAGUACAAAAUAGUUGUUAUAUGGGAUGUUUUGUGCAUGCUUUUAUGUUUCAGGUGUACUUGCUGACAGCGACGAAGACGAAUCAAGAAGAGGAACAUUGUUGAGAAAGUGAUUGGGACUUGCAAACAGGAUUCGAGUCACUGGUUUACACAUGGAAGAAGAUUUCCACGUCUGUUACUCAACUCUACAGAAGCAAGUGGAUGUCCAGAUGGCAAGCAGAACAGACGUGUUUCUUGGAGCUGCCAAACAGUGAGUACAAACGUUUUAUAUUUUUCAGUUGUUUACUCAUAGAAGUCUGUGAAAGAUGAUAACAAGGGUUGAAUCUAUCAGCACUUGUGUCUAAAAAUGCUGAUGUGUGACGGUUUACUGAAAAGGGUAAAUGCUAGCCAGUACUUACACUUGAGCAACCGUGGGAUGUCGAACUAACUGAUGAUGUACUAUGAUGGUGAACACUUACUAUGUGUAUCAAAAUGCUUUUGUUGAUAUUUACUAUAGAUGAUUUGAUAUUGGUUAACAUUUGUUUGCAUGCUGUUAACAUUUCUAUUUCAUUUCAGGGAGCUGUGGUAAGUAUUGUAGUAUUAAUUUGUCUCAAUAAACGAUGAUGAAUGAAAACUGAUGUCGAUUCUUUUUGUACAGUUUUAGGUAUUAGCACUCUAUACAAAACUCUGUCGGUCGGUGUUUGUGAAUGUGAGCUUAAUGUUUGAGUAGAACAAAAAUGUCUUUACUUUUGUGAUCGCCAGUUGUCUGUGAUGUAAAGUGGAAAAAACACAGCUAUGAAGCAUACAAUUGUUUCAAUAUUUUAUCAAUGAUAGUGUGCUAUGCAUGUUUUGAUUUAGUUCGUUUCAGAUACGACAUGACAUGAAGAGUUGACAGUCGAACAGAGCUGAGCAAAGCAGAAAGGUAAGUGUGUUUCAUUUUAGUAUGAACACUUGUAUUUUGUUUUUAUAUGGUAUGUUUUGUGCAUGCUAUGUUUCAGGUGUACUUGUAGUCAGCGACGAAGACGAUUCAAGAAGAGGAACAUUGCUGAGAAAGUGAAUGGGACUUGCAAACAGGGUAAGUGUUACAAUUGUUCUUUUGAUUUUUGCCAUGCAUACUUUGCUUUGCUCUGUUUCAGAUUUCACAUGCAGAAAUGGUCUCAUAGCAGUGCCAACAGUGAAUAAGGAUUUCAGCUGCUGUGAAACAACUCAACAGAAAGUAGGUAAGCAUUGAAUGAAUGCACUUGAGUUGUACAAUUUGAUGUGAUGCUUUUCUCUGUUUCAGAUUCAAGUUCCUGGUGUAGACAGAGAAAUGUGUUUGAAGAAGGAAUUCUACUACUGUGAUUCAACUCUACAGAAGCAAGGUAAGUAGAAACACAAUUUUGGUUUAAUUUAACUCAUGUGUUUUGCACUGCAUGCUAUUUUUCAGGUCUCUCAUGCAGUGAUGCAAAAGAAGAAGAUUUCAAGAAAGAAUCACUGCUGCAACUCAGGCCUAUAACAAGACUUACAUUGCUGUGACUGUUCCACAGUGGGUCAAAAAAGAGACGAAUACAGGUUUCAAGAAGAAAAUUGGCUGUUGAAAACCUGCACAAAAUAUGAGGUAAGUAAACUAUUCUUUUGGUUUGUUUUGUGCUUUGUUAUGCUUAACUAUUUUUCAGAUUGGAAUGGUGGGUCGUUACAGAGCAGACUUUUGGACAACUGAGAAGUUGAGAAACAGAGAAUGAUUCAAGAUCAGCUAGGUAAGUCUUGAUUAUUCUGCAUUGUAAAAUGUGUUUCUUUUUCAUUUCAGUAUGGCUGUGGUAAGUACACAAACUUUCUUUAAUUUUCAUAUUGAACUGUUUUGAUG